CUCCAUCGCUAAGUCAAGACGCCUUUCUGCAUUUAUUUGCACACUGUUCCAUGAAAGUCGCCUGUUACAGCUUUGGUAGAUCAAGCAGCACUCGCCACCUGUCUCGGCAGGUUGGUUUUCGAUAUUGCAUCCGUCUUGGAAGCCUUGUCACUAGAGUGCAUGGCGUGUUUCGUUUGAGUUGAGGCCUGCCUUGCCGAUUGUUGGCUUUCUUUGUCAUGGCACGUCUCUUAGUAAUGUCUCACACAUAC
rnacentral:snoRNA from 1 species